GAACUGAAGAGUUUGAUCAUGGCUCAGAUUGAACGCUGGCGGCAGGCCUAACACAUGCAAGUCGAGCGGCAGCACGGGUACUUGUACCUGGUGGCGAGCGGCGGACGGGUGAGUAAUGCCUAGGAAUCUGCCUGGUAGUGGGGGAUAACGCUCGGAAACGGACGCUAAUACCGCAUACGUCCUACGGGAGAAAGCAGGGGACCUUCGGGCCUUGCGCUAUCAGAUGAGCCUAGGUCGGAUUAGCUAGU
rnacentral:rRNA from 1 species